rnacentral:lncRNA from 1 species
AUCCGAGACUGAAAGUUUCUCCUUCAAUCGCCAAACUUCCAAUGUCUACUGAAAGUUUCUUCAUCAACACCGAACAGUUGUAACCUGGAAGGAACACUCUGACGUUCAAGUCAUAUGGGUAUCAAGAAGGUCAAAUUGAAUAUAUUUAGACAAAGGUAGUUUUACCUAGUCAUUAACGCUGUAUUUAUAGGUAUUAGGCCCAACGAUUAGCAUUAACUGCUCAUAAAUACUAUAUCUUUUGUUUCUCCUUAUGUAAUAUUCACCUAUUAAAGCUAUUUAUACCAUUUGUAAUGUCAUUAAUUACCUUUUAACGUUGUCUUUAAUACUCUUUCACUGCUCAGCCUCACAACUGGACUUCAUCAUCCCUUACCGACCGAUCUCCUCUCUCCCCUCGCACCUUAGUCCUUAUUGGUUGGCCACCUCCUCAUACUACAAAU